GCCAGGAAAGCACAUUGCAGUUCAUAGAAGACUACCGUAAACAUGAACUCCUGUGGAACACUAGCUUAAAAGAAUACAAAAACAAACAACUUCGAAGGGAUGCCAUCAUUGAACUAGGACGAAAGUAUGGACUAAAUGAAAAAGCUGUGAAAAAUAAGAUCAAAAGCUUACGUUGUUAUUUUAGCAAGGAGCAUGAUAAAGUCCGUAGUGCAAAAUGUGGCAUGUCAGCGAAUGCAAAGGAAGUGCCGUCAUGGUUCGCAUACAAAUCACUGUUGUUUUUGAAAGACACGGCCGUACCAUUUCAGACUGUGGACAGCAUUGAUGACAGCACCAACAAUGAUGACAACAAUGAGAUGAAUGUUCCUGAAGUAAACCAAGACACGCAUGCAGAGGACGAUGUGCUUCAUACUUCUCAUCUCGAAUCUCCGAUAGAGGGAACGUGUGCAGUUGUCAACACUACGAGUUCCAGAAUUAACAAACGAAAGAGUUCGGUGACCAGAGAGGAAGAAGCAUUCAAGAUCAUGAAAAGUGUGUGUGCAAACAUGAAAAUAAACGAUGUGCAUGCUUCCUUUGCAGACUUUGUUGCUCACAAGAUACGGAACCUACCAUCCACUCAAUUACAAAACAUUGCUCACAACCGUAUCACUAACAUUCUCUUUGAGAUCGAGUCCCAGGAUGUUGUUCAAUCAGUCGUCUCUCCAUUCCAACCACUAAAUUACCUGCCAAGCACAAGUUCCACGGGUUCUUCAUCGUCAGAGCAAUAUAUCGAGCUGCGUUUGCCUAAUCAUGAUGAAGCCGUUUAUGGUUUCGGCAACAGCAGUGGUAGCAAUGUGGUUGUGCCUGAGUAAUGUGUUCAUAAAUGUAUUGAAUGCAUCCCGGUAUUCUUAUAUUUUGUAUCCCUACUUUCGUUUCAUAUAAAGUGUAUUGUAUUUAA